GAUGAAGAACGCAGCGAAAUGCGAUACGUAAUGUGAAUUGCAAAUUCAGUGAAUCAUCGAGUCUUUGAACGCACAUUGCGCCCCCUGGUAUUCCGGGGGGCAUGCCUGUCCGAGCGUCAUUGCUGCCCUCAAGCACGGCUUGUGUUUUGGGCCCCGUCCUCCGAUCCCGGGGGACGGGCCCGAAAGGCAGCGGCGGCACCGCGUCCGGUCCUCGAGCGUAUGGGGCUUUGUCACCCGCUCUGUAGGCCCGGCCGGCGCUUGCCGAUCAACCCAAAUUUUUUAUCCAGGUUGACCUCGGAUCAGGUAGGGAUACCCGCUGAACUUAAGCAUAUCAAUAAGCGGAGGA
rnacentral:misc_RNA from 1 species